rnacentral:rRNA from 1 species
AAUCAACGCUGGCGGCGUGCCUAACACAUGCAAGUCGAGCGGUAAGGCCCUUUCGGGGGUACACGAGCGGCGAACGGGUGAGUAACACGUGGGUGACCUGCCCUCAGCUCUGGGAUAAGCCUGGGAAACCGGGGUCUAAUACCGGAUAUGACUCCAUGACGCAUGUUGUGGGGUGGAAAGCCUUGUGCGGCUGAGGAUGGGCCCGCGGCCUAUCAGCUUGUUGGUGGGGGAUGGCCUACCAAGGCGACGACGGGUAGCCGGCCUGAGAGGGCGACCGGCCACACUGGGACUGAGACACGGCCCAGACUCCUACGGGAGGCAGCAGUGGGGAAUCUUGCGCAAUGGGCGAAAGCCUGACGCAGCGACGCCGCGUGA